rnacentral:rRNA from 1 species
UAAGGAAUAUUGCUCAAUGGGAGAAAUCCUGAAGCAGCAACGCCGCGUGGAGGAUGAAGGGUUUUUAACUUGUAAACUCCUGUAAAGAAGGAAAAAAUUCCCAUUAGAUGGGAAAUGAUGGUACUUCUGGAGUAAGCCCCGGCUAACUACGUGCCAGCAGCCGCGGUAAUACGUAGGGGGCAAGCGUUGUCCGGAUUUACUGGGUGUAAAGGGUGCUCAGGCGGAUUUGUAAGUCAGAGGUGAAAUCUCACAGCUUAACUGUGAAACUGCCUUUGAUACUGCAAGCCUAGAGUAUGGAAGAGAGUGAUGGAAUAUCUGGUGUAGCAGUGAAAUGCGUAGAUAUCAGAUAGAACACCAAUGGCGAAGGCAGUCACUUGGUCCAUAACUGACGCUAAAGCACGAAAGCGUGGGUAGCAAACAGGAUUAGAUACCCUGGUAGUCCACGCCCUAAACGAUGUCAACUGGUUGUUGGGAAGGUUCCUUCUCAGUAACGUAGCUAACGCGUGAAGUUGACCGCCUGGGGAGUACGGCCGCAAGGUUGAAACUCAAAUGAAUUGACGGGGUCAUAGCUGUUUCC